rnacentral:rRNA from 1 species
UGCAAGUCGAACGGUAUAUUGCUUUCGGGCAAUAGAGAGUGGCGCACGGGUGCGUAACGCGUAUGCAACCUACCCAAUACAGGGGGAUAGCCCGGAGAAAUCUGGAUUAAUAUCCCAUAGUAUCAUUUAGCUGCAUGGUUUGAAUGAUUAAAGAUUCAUCGGUAUUGGAUGGGCAUGCGUCUGAUUAGCUAGUUGGCGGUGUAACGGACCACCAAGGCGACGAUCAGUAGGGGUUCUGAGAGGAAGGUCCCCCACACUGGCACUGAGAUACGGGCCAGACUCCUACGGGAGGCAGCAGUAGGGAAUAUUGGGCAAUGGACGAGAGUCUGACCCAGCCAUGCCGCGUGCAGGAAGACGGCGUUCUGCGUUGUAAACUGCUUUUAUCUGGGAAGAAAAGGCCCCUGCGGGGGACAUUGCCGGUACCAGAUGAAUAAGCACCGGCUAACUCCGUGCCAGCAGCCGCGGUAAUACGGAGGGUGCAAGCGUUGUCCGGAUUUAUUGGGUUUAAAGGGUGCGUAGGCGGCUUAUUAAGUCAGUGGUGAAAGACUCCGGCUCAACCGGGGCAGUGCCAUUGAUACUGGUUAGCUUGAGUGUUGGAGGGGUACAUGGAAUUGAUGGUGUAGCGGUGAAAUGCAUAGAUACCAUCAGGAACACCGAUAGCGAAGGCAUUGUACUGGCC